UAGAGGUUUGCCUGCCGGUGACAAAAAGUUUAACGGCCGCGGUAUUUUGACCGUGCGAAGGUAGCGCAAUCACUUGUCUUUUAAAUGGAGACCCGUAUGAAUGGCACGACGAGGGCUUAACUGUCUCCUCUUUUAAGUCAAUGAAAUUGAUCCCUCCGUGCAGAAGCGGAGAUAUCUCCAUAAGACGAGAAGACCCUAUGGAGCUUUAGACACUAAAGCAGACCACGUAAAUACCCACAAAACAACGAAUUAAACACAAUGUCACCUGCCCUAUUGUCUUCGGUUGGGGCGACCACGGGGAAACACACAACCCCCAUGUGGAAUGGGCACACAUUCCCUAAACCAAGAGCACCAGCUCUAAGGAACAGACCUUCUGACCUAAAGAUCCGGCUUAAACCGAUCAACGGACCAAGUUACCCUAGGGAUAACAGCGCAAUCCCCUUCUAGAGCCCAUAUCGACAAGGGGGUUUACGACCUCGAUGUUGGAUCAGGACAUCCUAAUGGUGCAGCCGCUAUUAAGGGUUCGUUUGUUCAACGAUUAAAGUCCUACGUGAUCUG
rnacentral:rRNA from 1 species